rnacentral:lncRNA from 1 species
CGCCGCCGCCCCCCGACGGCCGGGCCGCGCGCGCUGGGGGCGGCACCGGGCCGAGGGCCGGGUGCCCGGGAGGAGGAACCGGCCGCGCCCGGAUACCCGGGCGCCCGCCCCUUGGACACGCCCACACUCGGCCCCGGGGCGGGCCGCCUCCCUCCGCGGUCCCCGCCUGGGCUGGGGGCUAACCGGGUGCUCCCACCGUCCCCUACGCGGUCCGCGACCGGCCUGGGGGGUUCCCCCUGUCCGUACCCCUCCACCUCCCACCUCGCUGGGACGACGCGGGGGCUCCUAACUGCUCCCCACUAGCUCCAAGAGCCGUGAGAAGGGGCACUCCCACCCUCUGGCGGCCCCAGCUCUGAGUGGUCUGCGGGGGGCUGGGUGCGCGCCCCCCCUCCUGCCGACUUUGGCGGAGCCGAGAGGAGACCUCGCCUUCUUCGGUACCUAGGGCUCAGAGGACCGCCGGGACUGCCUCUCCGGGCGAGUGAAGGAGGAGUUGCCUCCUCUCCGCAUCCCCUACUGGGUAGGGGGUUUCUACCCUGGGUGACCGAUUGGGACUUAUGGCCCUGGAUAUAUGAUAAGAUUAUUUUGAGACAGACCUUUCACAAAAGCCCACUGCCGUUCCAAAGUUUGUUCCUAGGACCUGUUUCAAGAACCACUGAGACACUGGAAUUCCUUCUGUGAGAGGCCGGGAGUGAGAACCAGUUAAUGACUAAUCAGCGCCAGGACCCGCACGUCUACAACCGAGUGAGAGGAAUCGAUUUCUCAGCUCCUGCCCUGAGAAUGAGAUCUAAAAAGUCAUGACUCAUAGAGCAAGCUGUGUUCUCCGGAUGUGUUGCCUAGGGAGGUAUCAGGAGAGGGGCUUUAUGUACCAAGCUUGAAUGAUUCAGAAACCUUGACUUUUACUUUUAUAUCCUUUUAGGUGUCCCUUAAAAGAGUCAAUGAGAGAAUAAUUCAAUUACACUCUAACACUGUUAAAUAAUGUACUUUGAGGGACAAGAAGUGGUCUCUAGGAAAAACAAUGCUAUGACAUCUUUCAUGGCUAUUUUUGCCCAAUUCUGAAUUCAUUCAAUUCGGAUAACUUAAUUCAAGAUGUUAAGCUACUCUACCAUGUUUGAUUCGUGGUUUUAUGUUUGCAUUUGAAAAUAAACUCACUGCUUGUAUUCA